rnacentral:lncRNA from 1 species
CGUGGCUUCUCUCAGGUGGCCCUCGAGAGUUUCUGCAGCUCAGACAUCCCUGGGUAGGCAGCUGUUCCGUCGUGUCUGACUCUCCGUGGCCCCAUUCGCGGUUUUCUUGGCAGAGACACUGGAGUGGUUUGCCAUUUCCUUCUCCAGCUCAUUUUACAGAUGAGGAAACUGAGGCAAGCAGGGUAAAGUGACUUGCCCAGGGCCACACAGCUAGGAAGUGUCUGAGGCCAGAAGUUUUCCUGACUCCCGGCCUGGCGCUCUGUGCACUAUGGCACUGCCUAGCUGUCCAGGCAGUCCCUGUUACCCUUCCAAACAGCCCUGCUGGAGCACAGCCCCCUUGCCUUCCCUGGGGGGAAGCUGGAUUUCCCGCUGGGUCUGGGUCGGGGUUUCAGGGUACUUCCCAAGCAGUUACCUGGCUGGCCCAUCUGCCCCUGGGCCUCAGCAAGCCAAGUCAAUGCCAGGCAUCAUGCUAAAUGCUGGGAAUACAAAAGAAACAGAAAACCUGCCCUCUGAGGGCUUACAUUCUGUUGCGGAAAGACAAUACCCCAGAGCAGAUAGAGAAGGUGUCAAGGAAUAGGUGUGGCGCCUAGAGCCCCCUGGGAGCUGAGCCUUGGGAACCCUGCUCAUGGAACAUCCUUGGGCGUUUCUGCUAGUGAAGGGCAGGCAGUCCCUAGAGGCCAAGUGCUGAAGGGGCUGGGGCGGGGCCCUGCCCUCCUGCCCAUCUCCUCACAUUCUUUCCAAGACUCACAUCCUGUUUGAAGAUGUCCCUGGGUCUCGAGUGGGAAGGGAAGUGGCCCUUGGUAAACAGCAUCAGGAAACCUGGAUAAGCCCCAGGAGAGGUCCUGACCCUGCCCUGGGCCCCACCCCCUCCUUCCUCUCUAGCAGGAUGAAGCCUGGGCACUUCACUGUGGGGGGUGGGUCUGGCCCCCCCCUUCCCCUCCCCCACAGGCUCUGGUCCCUUUUAGGAACCAUCAACUUAACUUGGCACCUGAUCUGUGGCUGUUGCCUCCUGGUUCACUUAACAGAUGUCUCUGCACUUUCAAGUUGGACACAAGCUCAUUGGAGCCUAUGGGGAAGGCCUGACCAGCACCGUGCUAUGCUCAGGAGGCUGCGUGCUUCUGGCCCUCAGCGCCCUGCUGGCGGUCGUCUCUGUCUUCCUCCCCAGUGGGCUCUUGGAGAGGCGAGUCUGUGCCCUGGCCGGAUACAUGCAGAUGGCAGCAGUGUUCAUCACGGCCUCAGGACUCCUGGUCUACCCUUUGGGUCUCGGCUCAGCUUCUGUGAAAAGCUCUUGUGGGAACACCGCCGGCAUCUACAAUGUUGGGAGCUGCCAGCUUGGCUGGGGUUACACGCUGGCCAUCGUAGGGGUCAUGCUGUCAGGCUUCUUGCCCUUCUUUGCGAAGUAUGCACCCAAAGAGCACAUCUCACCAACCCCGAUGCCCGCUAUUUUAUAGCAGUUGUUACCAACAAAAGGACACCUCGUCUAAAACAAAUGGGCAGAAGGAGAGUACAACAAAUACACCAUUUGCCUUAACCAACAGAGGAAUUGGGUUCCAAGCUCACUCCAUUGCCACAUCUCAUUGGGGAAAAAAGAUCUGUGGUCCCACGCACACCCAUCUUCCUAGUAAUUAACAAACAGAGAAGGACCUAGGAUCUAUUUUCUAACCAGAAAUCUUGUCUGAUGCAUUUUUGAGAUGGUGCAUGCUGUCUUUGAUUGGAUCCAUCAUCAUAGUUAACAAUUUUUCUGAGUCCUAAACGGGUUCUUUGUCCAUUAUUUCUCAAGAAAAACGUACUUGAAGGAAACUAGAGGAAAUGUUAGGGAAGGACAAAGACCCAAAACAGAGAAAAGCCUCACCUGGGAAUAAAGUAACAGAGGCAAAUGCA